AUGCAGGACUCGGCUGCAGAACUCAGAGCUGCCUUUGCACUCCUGCUGGACAGCUGCAGAGAGAUCAAACCAAACAGGAUCCUCCAAAACAGGGCAGCUCCGAGUUAUAUAAGUCCUGAUGAAGACAUUUCCCCCAAGUCCACCAUUUUUCUUCCUUCAGUUGCUGAAAUAAAAAUCCAUAAGGCUGGAACAUACCUUUGUCUUCUUGAGGAUUUUUUCCCUGACAUUAUCAAGAUAGAUUGGCAAGAAAAGGAUGGCAAAACAAUUCUGAAAUCCCAGCAGGGAGACACUAUGAAAAAGACUAAGGACACAUACAUGAAAUUCAGCUGGCUGACUGUGACUGAAGCAUCAAUGGAUAAAGAACACAAAUGUAUCAUCAACCACGAGAGUGGUAAAACAAAACUUGAUCAAGAGAUUCUUUUUCCUUCAAUAAACAAAGGUAUUUUGAUGGCAGUGAUGGAAUCCGAAGUGGCCUCCCAGGGGCCUUCAGAGACAAAGCAAAACACAGAGGUGGUAACUGUGAGCCCUUUGAGUUCACAAUCUUUCUCACCUGUUCCAAGGGCUGUGGAGCUCACUGCUGUUAACUCCACAAAAGCUUCUCUGAAUGAUGAAAAUGACACCCUGCAGCUGCAACUCAAGAACGCCUCUGCCUACUACACCUACCUCCUCCUCCUUCUGAAGAGCCUGGUCUACUCCAUCAUUGCCAUCUGUCUGCUUGGGAGACCAGUAUUCUAUGGCAAUGGGAAGAGUUCCUAA